ACUAAAUCGCAAAUCUCGCUAGUGUUUCCCUUUUGGAAAAUAGAAUCCAACCAAUUUUAGUAGUAGAAGUCUCAGCUGCUUUCCAAUUCGUUCCUCUAAUUAAUGGCGAGGCUUCAAUUGUCUCUUCUUGCUCUUUUCUCCCUUUGCCUCACUGUCCUCACUUCAGGUGUAUUUUCACAAUCAACUUUCACAAUAGUCAACAACUGCAACUACCCAGUAUGGCCAGGCCUAUUGUCCAACCCUGGAGUACCUCAACCCCCCACCACCGGCUUCUUGCUCAACCCCACCUGCUACACCACCCUUUCUAUGCCUGCCUCCUGGGCUGGCAACAUGUGGGGCCGCACCCUCUGCUCCACCGACCCCAACACUGGCAGAUUCACCUGCGUCACUGGUGAUUGCGGCUCGGGCACCGUCGGAUGCAUCAAUGGCGGCAACCCUCCCGUCACGCUGGCGGAGUUUGCGCUCGACGGCGGCGGCGGCUUCGACUACUAUGACAUAAGCCUCGUGACCGGCUUUAACGUCCCUAUGAAUGUGGUCCCACAGGGUGGGAGCGGGACCUGCACCGCCAUCGAAUGCUCGGCGGAUAUCGACGCCGCUUGCCCGACGGAGUUGCAGGAGCUCUGGUACGGGAAAGUCGUGGGGUGUAAGAGCGCAUGUGUGGCCUUUGGGGACCCCAGGGAUUGUUGUACUGGGGCCUACUCGACGCCUGCCACGUGUGGACCGACUCCUUAUUCGGAGUUCUUUAAGAGCGAGUGCCCACAGGCGUACAGUUACGCUUUCGAUGGUGCGCCCGUCUCGUGUGCCUCUGCGGAUUACACCAUCACUUUUUGCCCCUAAUCAGGGUCACAAGGUAAAUGACAAAUGUUGAAAGGCCCUGUUCCGCUAAGGAUACGGCGAGUGAAGCUGGCUAUCGUUGUCGAGCAAAGCUGGAUAUCGUUACUGCUCAAUCGUGUAAUUUUCAUUUGGUAUUGUAAUUAAGUAAUACUAAGAGUUAUGGUAUUUUUGAACUUGAUUUAGUGGCUCCAAUAAUUGUGGGCCACAAGAAUGUAAUAUAGCGUUGGUGGGUGAAUUCAUAUUGUGCUCGGUUUUUUGUA